CUACGGGACGCAGCAGUGGGGAAUAUUGGACAAUGGGGGAAACCCUGAUCCAGCAAUGCCGCGUGUGUGAAGAAGGCCUGCGGGUUGUAAAGCACUUUCGGUUGGGAGGACUGCUUCUAGCACUAAUAUUGUUGGAAGUUGACGUUACCUUCAGAAGAAGCACCGGCUAACUCCGUGCCAGCAGCCGCGGUAAUACGGAGGGUGCAAGCGUUAAUCGGAAUUACUGGGCGUAAAGCGCGCGUAGGCGGCGAGAUCAGUCGGGUGUGAAAGCCCCGGGCUUAACCUGGGAACUGCAUCCGAUACUGUCUAGCUUGAGUACAGGAGAGGAGAGUGGAAUUCCACAUGUAGCGGUGAAAUGCGUAGAUAUGUGGAGGAACACCAAUGGCGAAGGCAGCUCUCUGGCCUGAUACUGACGCUGAGGUGCGAAAGCGUGGGGGGCAAACAGGAUUAGAUACCCCUGUAGUC
rnacentral:rRNA from 1 species